rnacentral:lncRNA from 1 species
UUUUUUUUUUUUUCUGGUAACACAGGAGCAUUGCUGUGAAAAUCAUUGCAACAAGAGAAAAACUGAUUAAGCCUAUUCAAUGCUAUUAUUUUUAUGAGAUUACAGACUUGUUUAAAAUAUGUAAGAAUCCUAUACGUAUGAAUUAAUUAUAGGUUAUAUGUCCAGACCUAUAAGACAGUAAAUGCUCUACUUGUAGCUAACCAUGAACAUCACAUCAGAAGCAACUCCUCUCUCUCUCACACAUUAAAAUUAUAAAAUCUAUUAUGGCCUGGGACCACAUCCUCUACUACUUUCCCAAUUCCUCUCUCUCUACUCUCACCUCACCUCCCCUGUCCUCUCCUUCUUUGCCCUUCUAUACUAUAAAUGAUCAGCCCUUUGCAGUCAAAAUGCCAUCUUCAGCAGUAGGAUAGAGAGCAACAAGUGAAAUGAAGAGGGCUGUAAACCCCAGAUCUGCAAACAACUCCCCUCCAUUGAACCCUGGUGAACCUACUAUUCUCAUGAGCGAUCUUUGGCUUGCUCUGAGUUGGUACUGAGUAUAAGACUAAAUUAGUGAAGACGGAAAAGAAGGAAUGCCACCUCCAAUUCUCAUCAUUUAGUAAGAACAGUAAUAAUGGAAUACUCUCCUGUGGAGUUGAAACAGGAAGGAGAGCCCUGUGUUUCCCUCUUCCUCCACCUCCAAUUUCCUUCAUUCUCAACCAUUUUUGCACAACUUCAGCACACUUCUCUAGUCUGAAACCCAGGAUUCUGCUAGUUUCAUCUUCAUGUGCAGGACACCCUGCAGGCUGCUAGGGACACCAAAGUGAAAACAACAUACACACCUCCAGUGGCUUGGAGUUGAGAGAGACCCAAAUCUUACACUGUUAUGUAACAAGGAGGAAGACAUGCACUCCUGUUCUCCCAACCAGGGAUUCUGAAAGCAUUUCUUCAGAAUGGGAUUAUAUUAACCCAAGUAUUGUGCUAUAAUAAUGGUCUACUAUUAUACUAGGCUGAUAUACUUCCUGGUUUGUCCCUAUUUUCCUGGCAUAUUCGUUUUUUAAAAAAGCAUCCCCUUUCACUCCCCAAAAAUCUGGAUAGUAACUUAUAUGGUCACUCUAAGUCAUAACAAAAGUGAACUUCUCAAGACAGGUAGGGACGUUUAACAAAAGCCCCAAAUAUAAACAUAUGACAUUAAGUAUUUCAAAGUUAAUGUGGUAGCAGCGAUGUUUAAAAAUACUAGAAAUGCAGAUACUCAUUAAAUGUAAGAAUAAAACAAAUAAAACAUUCUUUAGAAAGAGGAUGGUCAUUACUGUGAUAUAAUUCCUACAGGAUGCCUAUAUCAAACUGCAUACAAGUUACGUGGAAUAACACCUUAAUAUUUAAAACAUUGAGUCAAACAUGGAUAAAAUAUUUACAAAAGAAUACUUGAACAUUUCAAUCAGGGAUGUUUCAGCUUUAAUAGUAAAAUUAAAUGUUUAAACGUUUAAAUCAGUUCUUCGUGAUUAAAGUUAAAUAAUCAUGGGCCUUCAUUUUGAACACUGCUUUUAUUUAUUUUUAUUUAUUUUUUUAUUUAUUCAUGAGAGAUAGAGAGAGAGAGAGAGGCAGAGACACAGGCAUAGGGAGAAGCAGUCUCCACGCAGGGAACCCAAUGUGGGACUCAAUCCCAGGACCACGGGAUCACUCCCUGAGCUGAAGGCAGAUACUCAACCCCUGAGCUACCCAGGUGUCCCUGAACACUGCUUUUUAAUCCAUGAUAAAUGUAGAAAACAAUGUUUAGAAAUAGAAAUAUUAAUUUUAGGAUUUGACAACAAAUGUUUUACAUUUAUUUUUUUAUUUGCCUUUGAAGACAUAAUACUUCAUGUAAAUUAUUCUAUACAUUUAAAUGCAUAGGUAUGAAGAUGAAAUUAGUAAAACAUGCUCUCAUAAGAAAACAGUUUAUUUUCUGAUUUAAUACUAAUCAACCAUUGCUAAUAUGCUAUAAAAUCCUACUUAAGAGAGACACUGACUCAAAUUAUUAAAGUUAAUGGCCUCCAGUUGCCUCAUCUUGCCUGAGUGUAGGAUAUUAAGCAUGCAGAACCCAUAAUUUAAUUAUCACCUGUUAAUAUUGGCGUUAAGUUCAUUUCCCUCCUUUCAGAAUGAAACUUCAGUGAUGAGCCAAUUAAAAACCAUUAUCUUCCUACUCAAAACACCAGCCUCCUAACUAUACCUGUAGUAUACAGAUCACAGAUCUGCUGAGACUUUCAAGAUGGAACUUGUUGCCUCUUGCCUUUAGGGAUUGAUAAAUUAAUUUAUUAUUUCUGCCCAUUUUUCAUUCUAAUUUUUAAAAUCUCUAGAUUAUAUAAAGAUUUAAACUCUUUUCUUCAAUAUAUUUAUAUACUUUAAAAAACAUUCCAGAAGUGGAGAGUUACGUUAUUCUACAAUAAUAAUAAGGCAAUCAUUAAAAGAAAUCUACACUCUUAUUCCUAUUUGGACAUGGUAAGAUGUAACAAUACAUCAAAGAAUGUGGUGCAAGAAGAGGAUUAGCUUAUCAUGAAAUUCCACUGAUAUGCACUAGAGAAAUGUGCAGUUUAUUUUUAGGAAUUUAUUAGAAACUCUGUCCCUUGGACCCUUCUGAUACAUGUACCAGUCUAGUGAAAUCUAAUUUUAUCAGUUCACCCAUGGGAAUGAAACUCUGAGAAAUUCAUUUGUGUUAACCAAACUCACAAGAGAUUGAUUUAUAAACUAGUAAAUCACUUUUUAAUUUACCAUGGGAAUGCUAGCUGAUCCAACAAUCCGAAAAAUUUACCUGAUGUUUUUGAGUUCUUACUACCCUCAGUGCUGGCACUACAAUGAAUACAAAGGUAAAAAAUAAUCCCCAUCCUGAAUAAAUUCAUAAUCUGGUGAGAGGGCUUGGACAACAAUACAUAAAAUACAAGCCAGACUACAAUUAAUGCACGAGUGGUAUGUAGUGGUUAAAUGUAUAGAAGAGGUCCAAUUCUUUCUUCUAGGAAGAAUCUUACAGGUAGAAAACCAAAUUAUACUUGAGAUGGAUUUUUGGUGGAUACAUUUUAAGGUAGAUUUCCCUCAAAAGUCAUUGCUGAUUAAUAAAUUAUCUUUCCCUUUCCCCUCCAUAUGUCUGUAUAAAGAACCAUAGCCCCCUAUCUAUAAUUAGGACAUCUUUACUACUGGAUACAUUCUAGACACUACAAAAACUUUUAAACUGUAACACAUUCAUAUCCAUUUCUUACCGCAGUUAUUAUCACAACAACAAUCUCUUCUGACCUCUAGUGUCACAACUAACUUGUAGGUUGAUUCCAAAGUUAGUGUUAUAAGGCAAAAAUUAUACAUAGUCAAAAUGUCCCUAAAAAUUCCAUAAAUAGCCUAGAGUAUACAAAGUUCUGUAAAAUAAUAUUCAGUACAAUGUCUAGUAAAACAGGAUAUAAAAGAAUACAUAAUCCAAACAUAAUUUUAAAUACAGUAUUCUCACUUAAAGGAAUAUUUAUGUAAGAGAAUUUAUACAAACUAAAUGUAUGUAUCAUGCACAUCCUUUAUCAUGACACCCAUAUUUGUAGGUUUCUUCCACUGAAUAAAUUUUAAAUAGGCCACUACCUAACAAUAUGUAUUGAAAUAACUUGUCUUUAAAUCACAAGAUAAACUGUGCUGCUUUUGAGGAGUUUCCUAUAGCCAGCUUAUUUUAGAUAUUUUAUGUGGAUUCUUACUAACCUCAGUCUCAGGCAUCUCUUCUAGAUUUGGAUGUUAGUCUGCUUUUUUCUAAUUACUAUAUUUACCCAAACAUACCAUGUACCUGGCUGGCACUGAGCCCAUAUUCCUGUUCUGACCACAAACAGCUAACUAUCUACAAGGAAGUCAAAGGAAGGAAGCCAAACCGUGACCAUCCAUUAUUGCAUUGUACUCAAUCAUCUGAACUUCAACACCUGUAUACCUGAAGUAAUAAACAGUCUCAUUUAGCAAGCACACUGAAGUAGGAGUAGCUGUGUAUACAUGUUUCAGCCUGCAUCAGAAGUAUGUUACCACAUGAUUUUGCUCGCUGUAAUAGCAGUUUUUGGCACUCAUUAAUGAUACUACUGAUAAUACUGUUGCCUGAUCAUUUUUGUAAAGAGUUAGAUAUUAUUUCUAUGAUAUGCAAAAGCCCUGAUUUGAAAGCAAGGGUAAAAACCAGAACAAUGGUUUCCCCCAUCUACUAGGUCAGCCAGUGGUCCAUAUAUUAGAUCACAGCCAUUAUGCAGAAUACGGAAGGACUUGAUGAAAGAUGAUUUUUAGAAUCUGGCAUUGAAAAUGUGUAGAGCUCAGGCUCUGGAAUCCAACAAGUAUGAAUCUCAUCCUCACCAUUUACUGGCUGGGUGACCUCUAGCAAGUUAUUUUAAACCUUUCAAGGCUCAGUUCCGUAUCUCCCUUAAGAUGUUUUUUAAGUAGGUUCCAUGCCUAAUGUGGGGCUUGGAGCAACCAAGAUUGAGAGUCACAUGCUCUACCAACUGAGCUAGCCAGAUGCCCCUCCCUUAGAUAGAGUUGUUUAAACAAUUAAAUGAAAUAAAGUUCUUAGCACAGUCCUUGGCAUAUGAUUAGAGCUUAGUAAUAAAUAUUAUGUAUUUUUAAAUUUUGAUUACAGUGUUUGUAAUUUCAUGUUUUCAACAACUUUUAUACAUCUCUUAUAUGUGCACCUGUAUGAGGUAACAACCUGUGGUUAAUUUGAUUUUUCUCCCUAGAAACAACAAGAUAUUUAACUAUAUAUAUGCUAAUGAAGAUACAUAAUCACCACUCCCAACACCUAUUUUUGGUGUCUUAAAGUUAAUUAUUCCUCUCAUAAUAUUUUCUUAUUCUGCUAUAAAUGUGAGAUCUAUGAUUACAG